CAACUUUCAACAACGGAUCUCUUGGCUCUCGCAUCGAUGAAGAACGCAGNGAAAUGCGAUAAGUAAUGUGAAUUGCAGAAUUCAGUGAAUCAUCGAAUCUUUGAACGCACCUUGCGCUCCUUGGUAUUCCGAGGAGCAUGCCUGUUUGAGUGUCAUG
rnacentral:rRNA from 1 species